AACGAACGCUGGCGGCAUGCCUAACACAUGCAAGUCGAACGAGACCUUCGGGUCUAGUGGCGCACGGGUGCGUAACGCGUGGGAACCUGCCCUUAGGUUCGGAAUAACUCCCCGAAAGGGGUGCUAAUACCGGAUAAUGUCUUCGGACCAAAGAUUUAUCGCCUUUGGAUGGGCCCGCGUUGGAUUAGCUAGUUGGUAGGGUAAAAGCCUACCAAGGCUACGAUCCAUAGCUGGUCUGAGAGGAUGAUCAGCCACACUGGGACUGAGACACGGCCCAGACUCCUACGGGAGGCAGCAGUGGGGAAUAUUGGACAAUGGGCGAAAGCCUGAUCCAGCAAUGCCGCGUGAGUGAUGAAGGCCUUAGGGUUGUAAAGCUCUUUUACCCGGGAUGAUAAUGACAGUACCGGGAGAAUAAGCUCCGGCUAACUCCGUG
rnacentral:rRNA from 1 species